AGUUGGGAAAUGUUUGUGGCAUUCAAGAAAUACCCAUAUUGUUGUGUUCAUCAUCCCUCAAUCUUGUGAGCAAUGCGUGAAGAUUUCAUGAAUUGUCAAGGGAUGACAGGAGGGCUUUUUUUCUCUAUGGUACAAAAUGGCAAAAAGAUACAAACCGCUAACACCCAAGCCCCAUGUGAAAAUCUGAUCCCACACGAGACAAGAACAUGGUACUCCUACUUCACCCUUUUGUGAAACGUGACUAUAUAUUAUAAUAAUAAUAAUAAUAAUAAAGAUUCAAACUUUGGACAGAAACAUUCACGGAUCUCACUUUCACUCGGAUUAUGGGAAAAUCGAUACAAAGAGGCAUGUCCAUGUCCACCAGACAAUGUAAUGAUACUCUUGACGCUCUGAUGAGUUUUGUAACGUUACAAAGGUAAAA